AGUCACGAAGAGGUAGUGUAAGUUCGUCAGUUCCCGGUCCACCUUCCGAUUGGCAGCAGUUAGAUGACGAUGAAGAGGAGGAGGCUCGACUAAUUUUCCUCAAAGACCAGAGAUAUGACUGUUCAGUCUUGAGGGCGCAGGAAAUUAUGGCCUGAAGAGGAGAAAAGGCCAGUUUGAUCUAAAUGUUAGCAGUACAAUUAUAGCAAUGCCAGAAGACAUCACUGAGAGAGAUCUCAAAAAUAUUUCCAAGGGAAGUGGAACGAAAGUAUACGACCAGAGCGUUGGUACUACUGUACUUGUCAUCAGUGCAGAAAUGGAUGUGUCCUCCUUGCCGUAGAUUGUGCAAUUGCUCAAUAUGCAGAAACAGAAAUGGUAAAAGUGCUACUGGAAUUCUCAUCAAUAUUGCAAGGACUACUUAGAGACUGCUGAAAUGAAAUACUGUGAUGGAAUUCAGAAUAUUGUGAUAUAUACUAUAUGUUGAAGUAGGUUACCUGGGUGUGUAGGAUAAUAAUAGUAUCAUUAUGUAGUGUGGAGUUUUGUGUUGUCUGAUGAAUCGUGUAGAGAAGCAAAAGGUCUUGCCCAUCAUUGUUAUUAUUUUAGUUAUUUUGUGGUGGUAAAAAAUCUCCCUUUUGCAGAUAAGCAUUCUUAUAAUUUUCAAUUUCCAGCGUUCCCCCGGUGCACUUUCGAUUCACAAUGAUGACACCUUUCUUGCAGGGUAUGUCAUAAUAUUUAUGGGACAUACUGAUAUACAUAGCAUAAAGUUUCAAAGUUAAAAGCACAUUACUUUGUAACUAUUUCUGCAUGACCUAACGCUUUUAUCAAAACAGUAUCUUCCAUAUUUUCAAAGACAGUUUUGGACAAAAAUGUCUACAGUGGCUGGUUUGUGUUGUAUUUACCAACUGACAUUGAACAGAACUUUAAUGUAUUUACUUAGUUAUUGUGACUUGAGUAAUUAGCUGGUUAGUUUGAGCGAGCCCUUAAAUGAGGUGAAGUUACUGAUGUUCUUAAUUCCAAGUAGGGGGGUAGUGCCAUCAGUGCACCUCACUUGGUUCCCUGUAGACAUUGCUUAGAAUUCUCUGCAGUGUCUCUUCUGCCACUAGCUGUAACUCCUUUCAUUCCUUUUACUGUACCUUCAAUCAUAAAUGUAUCUUCCAUACUUUCCACUCCUUCUUAACAAUUGUUUCAUAGUGCAUCUGCAAAGUUUCCCUCCUGUUGCACCUUUAGAUCCUUUUACUCUCAAUAUCCCUUUCAGCACUGAAUGACUUCAUAGGUCCCAGUGCUUGGCCUUUGUCCUAAAUUUUAUAUGCCAUUCCAUACCAUGUGCCUUUAUUUUUGUUAUACUGUACAUAAUAUGAUAAACAUUUUGCAAUUGCCGCAUAUCAUAUAAUCAUUGCAUUGGCUAACAGACAUAAGACUUGAGCAUUAGUAUUUGCAGCAUCAUUACAUAUUGUCAUCGUCAUCAUCAACAUUCUGACAUCAUCUUUCUAUUCCCCUGUGUUCUGUUUCCCAUAUCUAAACUAACAUCAUUUCCAGGUCUUUGUCUGUCCCCCCUCUCUGUUUUUUUUUGUUUUUUUUUUUUU